CCUACAUUCCUGCACUGACAGAGCAAGUCCCAAAUAUGCCUUCUGCGGCUGUACGCCUUUUUUCCCCGUCCCCUCCACAACGCGGAGCGGAGGGAGCUGCCUGCCAGUCCCUUACUCGCCCACGCUCACACUGCCGGCUCUGCCGUGCACACAUGCAGGCAUGCAAAAGUUGCACAGCAGAGACGGUGAAGAGCUUAUCCUCAAAGCCCCCAGGACAGCAGCGACAGCUUUUGGGGGUCACUGCGGCAGAGCUAAUUACUGUCUCAUCUCGCUGACGAGAGCAGCAGCGGUUCCCGCUCCCACAACGAGGCUAAGGCACGUGCCUGUGCCGGGGCCCGUGCACCCAGGCCGGGCGUGUGGCUGUCCGCCAAGGAGACCCCUACAAGGGCCAAGGGCAGCAGCUUCCCAGGACUUAACCUCAUUUGGGCAGAAUGUCCAGACUGGUCUGGGAAAAGGAAGAAAUGAUCUCCCUUCUCCUCUAGUUUGACUCCAAACCAAACUGUCCUCUGCAGGGAAGAGAAAUUACACAAUUUCCGUGUAAAUGCUUAUUUAGCAGGCACAGCAAGACAUAAAUGCAAGGAAACUUUUUCCUGACAUUUGUCUCUGAGCUCUGAGACUCUAGUUUCCAAGCCUUUAGUUUUUCUUAUGAUUAGACUUGGCUUGAAAGAGUUUUCUGAAGUGGGUAUUUGCUCUUUGAGGUUUGCGGCUUGUUGAGAAGUUAUUAAAUAAGCUAGUCUCACUGAACAGCUUGGCUGAUGACAUUGGCUUCAAGUGAGCGAGGGAGAGCUUGGAUUUGGGAGGUAAAUUUGUGCCCUGCUCUCACUUGGAAAUGAGCUCCCUGGCAAUGAGAUUUGUCAGACUGCUUCAUCAUCUUGAAUGUAUUUGUUCCCACUAGCCUAAGUGGAUGCUUUGUAUAUAAAUACCCUAUUAACGUUGAGGAGCUGUGGCGAAAGGCAUCAGUAAUCUUUAUUGAUGUGGAAGACAUAAAAGGGAGAUGGGCCGGAGAUUGUUACCUCAAGCCCUUGUAAUUCAUUGCAUGCCUUGCACGCUGGAAUGCUGCAGCAUGGAUUAAUACCUACUAUUACUUGAUUUGAGAGCUCCUGUUCAGAGUUACGCUUUGAAAAUGAUCUUGUUAUAUAUAAACCGGUCUGUUAGCUCCCCUAGUAAUGAUUGCAUAAUAUAUUCUCUAGUAAGGAGCUGAUUAUAUUUCCUGUAUUCUUAAAUGGCUUUUUUUUUUUUAAUUUGUUUUGUUAAAGGGAGAGUUAGUGACUGGAUAAAAACCUUCCACAGAUCUCUCGUAUUGCUUCAGGCAUUGCAUUUGGCCUUAACAGACAAUGCUAUGCAUUAAAGCCACGUUUUACAUCUUAGGUUCUCGUAUUAUGAUUUCAUACAUGAAUGUUUCUCAACUGUACCACUCCUCAGCGUGCCAUGGGAUAAAGCCAUAGUUAUUGCUCUAUUAACUAACAUAACCACUAUACAUCAAUGGCACGGUCAGUUACAAUAACACUGUAUUAUAUUUUGAGCAGUACAAUAGCCUAAAAGAGUUAUUUUGAAAACACAGGUGGAUGGUAAGAACAUUAUCCACUUGGAAAUGCAGCAAUGGGAACACAGUGACAAACUGAAAACAAAAGAAAAGCCUCAAUGCAUGAAUUAAACAAGAGUUAAACACAAUGAGCCUAGCUAAAAUAGCUUUUACGCCUUACUGUUGCAAUGCUAUAAAAAUUAAAAGUAAAUAUAUUACUAGGCAUGAAAAAAAGAGACCAACCACAAGAAAAUUGAAACCAGUCACUUACUUUCCUUACUAGAGAAGAAAAAACUGCAGCCCUAAGACAAGUAAACAGGGACAAAACAAAAAGCCUGGACACUGGCGCUCUUCUCUCCAUAAACUCAGACCUUCCUGCUUCCGGAUUCGUUUUUGGGACCUAAUCGCUCUGUGGCACCUUCCACCGCUUCAUGGCAAAACCCGCCAGACCUCUGCCCACCAAGGACAGGAAGGCUGGACCUGACAGGUGAUGUGGGUAGGGGAAAGGAAAGCAGUGGCGGCAGCAAGGUUUUAAAUACUUGGGGACCGCUGAAGCUCUGUCAGCCCUAACCGAGGCGUCCUGCUAGCUCAGAGAGCUCGGGAGGCUUAUUUACAGGUGCUGAAAACCUGGGGGCUUACUGCCACAGCUCUCACCUCACUUUGCGGAAUGGUAUAGAUGAAAUCUCAGCUACAAGGCACGUCCUCUAAUCCCAGCGAACACCAACACUUUGAGUACAGUACCUGAUCCUCUUUAUACAGGACAAAUGUAAUCUGAUGUGCUUUUACUGUAUAUGGUAUCUAUACAUUUUUCUUUUUUUCACCCUGAAACUAUUUUUUUCAAGGCUAAGGGCUCAUUAUCAAUUUAAAUCAAUCAUUCCAGUGCUGAGUCCACAUCUGAAUUCUUUUUUUUAAAUACAACCGCAUUCCUCCCGCUGUUAGCUUUCACCAUCAGCUAUUUCUUCAAAAGUGUCUUAUAUUGGUCUCUUUUGUCUGAUAUUUAAUUUUUCAAUUACAAUCAUAAAUCUACUCUCUCUGUUACAGAAGCAGCAGCAAAAGGACUGAGUUUUUCAGGACAGUGGAAGCAAUUUGAGUAAAAAAAUUGGAAGUGAGAGAUUCAGACAAAAUUAGAGGAUUAUCCAAAAUAGCUCAAAGAAUUUUUAAAAGCAUUCUUAAUUGUAAAGCAAAAAUUAUUGUUAGUGGGAUAAUAAGAAAAAAUUAUCUGAAGGAUUAAUUUCCAGACAGAGGAAAUAAAAGGAAGAUGCUUAAGUUAAACAUCACUGCAAUACAAAAAUGCACAAAUACCUUCU